rnacentral:rRNA from 1 species
UAGAGUUUGAUCCUGGCUCAGGAUGAACGCUGGCGGCGUGCCUAAUACAUGCAAGUCGAGCGAAUGGAUUAAGAGCUUGCUCUUAUGAAGUUAGCGGCGGACGGGUGAGUAACACGUGGGUAACCUGCCCAUAAGACUGGGAUAACUCCGGGAAACCGGGGCUAAUACCGGAUAACAUUUUGAACCGCAUGGUUCGAAAUUGAAAGGCGGCUUCGGCUGUCACUUAUGGAUGGACCCGCGUCGCAUUAGCUAGUUGGUGAGGUAACGGCUCACCAAGGCAACGAUGCGUAGCCGACCUGAGAGGGUGAUCGGCCACACUGGGACUGAGACACGGCCCAGACUCCUACGGGAGGCAGCAGUAGGGAAUCUUCCGCAAUGGACGAAAGUCUGACGGAGCAACGCCGCGUGAGUGAUGAAGGCUUUCGGGUCGUAAAACUCUGUUGUUAGGGAAGAACAAG